GAUAAUCAGAAAAAAUUAACUCCCAUUAAAAUCAAGGUUAAGAAUUUCUACAUCAACAAUGAGAAUUCACCCAUCACUAUCCCAAAUUUAGCUAUAUUAAACUAGACUAAAGUGAUUCCACCCUCAAAACCUCUCAAAAAGUAAUCUUCUCAAUUCAUCAAACUAUAAGUAAAGAAAAUGACUAAGGCAACUAUAUAUAGUUAUUGCCUUUAUACAAAUAUUCUAUUAAAAAAUAGACCAAAAGUGGCUAUUUAUAAAACAACCCAAAGAUACCUUCUUCAUUACCCAAAUGGUAUCUUGAUUGCUUGUGGCCUUUGUAUUUAUUACUUCAUGAAUUUCUCUAGUCUCCAAGUUACUAUCCAUAUGUAGAAGCCCCUCUUGGUGUGCUCCAAGCUUGUAGCUCUUGUAUCAACAGCUCAUAUUAGUCUAUUCGACCCUCAACAAUCAAUAUUUCAUAAAAAAACCAUCUCAUCAGUUAUCAUACAUGGUUAAGUUAUAGUCAUUUCAAUAUACCUCAACCAUUCAAGGAAUAAUACCAAC
rnacentral:lncRNA from 1 species